rnacentral:rRNA from 1 species
GACGAACGCUGGCGGCGUGCUUAACACAUGCAAGUCGAACGGAAAGGCCCUGCUUUUGUGGGGUGCUCGAGUGGCGAACGGGUGAGUAACACGUGAGUAACCUGCCCGUGACUUUGGGAUAACUUCAGGAAACUGGGGCUAAUACCGGAUAGGAGCUCCUGCUGCAUUGUGGGGGUUGGAAAGUUUCGGCGGUUGGGGAUGGACUCGGGGCUUAUCAGGUUGUUGGUGGGGUAGUGGCUUACCAAGGCUUUGACGGGUAGCCGGCCUGGGAGGGUGACCGGCCACAUUGGGACUGAGAUACGGCCCAGACUCCUACGGGAGGCAGCAGUGGGGAAUAUUGCACAAUGGGCGGAAGCCUGAUGCAGCAACGCCGCGUGCGGGAUGACGGCCUUCGGGUUGUAAACCGCUUUCGCCUGUGACGAAGCGUGAGUGACGGUAAUGGGUAAAGAAGCACCGGCUAACUACGUG